UACAGAGGUCCCGAGCGUUGUUCGGAUUCAUUGGGCGUAAAGGGUGCGUAGGCGGCGGGGAAAGUCUGAUGUGAAAUCCUGGGGCUCAACCCUGGAACUGCAUUGGAUACUUCCUUGCUAGAGUACUGGAGAGGAAACUGGAAUUUACGGUGUAGCAGUGAAAUGCGUAGAGAUCGUAAGGAAGACCAGUGGCGAAGGCGGGUCUCUGGACAGUUCCUGACGCUGAUGCGCGAAAGCGUGGGGAGCAAACGGG
rnacentral:rRNA from 1 species